AACAGAAGACCGCAAAGUGGGCUGGGAUCUGUGAGCCCAGAAAAGCAACGUUCCACCAAAGUCAAGGGAGGCUGGAAUGUCAAAUUGGAGGUGUCUAGGAGUGUCAAAUAUUGCAGAAGGUGUUAAAAAGGACCGAAAAGUGUCUGCUGAGAUUUGCUAUCCAGAAGCACAGCUCAAAAUGGCCUCUGCAGAAUAAAUGGAAUGAGCUAGGUGUGGAACUCCAGGCACAGCGGUCAAUUAAGGGCUGUUCAUUAACAUUUCAAGCACUGCAGAUAGGGCAUUGUGAGAGCAGGGAUGAUGAUGUCUGCAAUGUGCUUGGCCCUUCAUAUGUGUCUGAUCCAGUUUACUUUCGGGGACAUCCGUCAUCACCAUUGGAAUCCAGACACACACCAUGAAACAUAAACAGACUGAGGCCAACAAAGGUGAAGACAGUUGCCUAAAUAACACAGCUUAUUUGCAGAAGAGCUAACAAGCGUUGAGUCGAUACUAUUUUAGCUAUAUUGUGUGACUUUUUGUACCAGAGAACUUACAAAAAUCAUCAGGGCCAGAUGGCCUGCAAGAUAUUGGAUCAUUAGGACAUAAAAAUUAGGUAGAAUCAAGAACGUCGGUGCUCACCCAGUAUGAGGAUCAUACGAAUUGGUGGUUGGAAAAGCAUUGAAAUGUCACUGACUUUGACUGUCAGAUGUGUGGGGUCAGGCAGGCAUGUGUUUCUCGGAUGCUCAUUGUAGCUCUUGCUUAUCCAUUUUUAUUAACUGAUCCAGUGACUCACAAGGAAGUUGGCAUUAUUGUGUGUGGAACAGCAGCAGAGCUUACUAACAUUCUCAGCUACAAAACAAAAAAUAACGAACCAGAGACUUCAGCUCAGUUCUUGUGAUUGGAGUUGUGUUUCCUCCAGAGUGACGAGCAUGGUAUAAGACGCCUCGCCCUGCACCCCAUCACGGCUCUCCCCAGACAGCCCUGACAGAGGGACAGGGAGGAGUCUCAUUUUGCAUCAAGAGCUUUCCAUGGGUCAUGUUAUUUCACCCUGCACGAUGCUGUGUGGUCUCAUCACCACUGAACACACAAGACCCUGAGACUCUGAGAGGUAGACACUGCACUCUACAGCUGCGAUUCACACCUGGAUCUGCUGGCUCAAGGUCUGCACUCUUUCCACUGCACCACAGUAACCCACAUGAAUCAGCAAUGAAAAGGCAAGACGGAGUAAGGU
rnacentral:lncRNA from 1 species